rnacentral:rRNA from 1 species
AAUCAGCCGGUACUCCGAAUGCAUCUUAGUAUUAGAGUUUGAUCAUGGCUCAGGACGAACGCUGGCGGCGUGCCUAAUACAUGCAAGUCGAGCGAACAGAUAAGGAGCUUGCUCCUUUGACGUUAGCGGCGGACGGGUGAGUAAACACGUGGGCAACCUACCCUAUAGUUUGGGAUAACUCCGGGAAACCGGAGCUAAUACCGAAUAAUCUAUUUCUCCUCAUGGUGAAAUACUGAAAGACGGUUUCGGCUGUCGCUAUAGGAUGGCCCGCGGCUGCAUUAGCUAGUUGGUGAGGUAACGGCUCACCAAGGCGACGAUGCGUAGCCGUACCUGAGAGGGUGAUCGGCCACACUGGGACUGAGACACGGCCCAGACUCCUACGUGGAGGCAGCAGUAGGGAAUCUUCCACAAUGGGCGAAAGCCUGAUGGAUGCAACGCCGCGUGAGUGAAGAAGGUUUUC